GAAAUGCGAUAAGUAGUGUGAAUUGCAGAAUUCAGUGAAUCAUCGAAUCUUUGAACGCACAUUGCGCCCUUUGGUAUUCCUUAGGGCAUGCCUGUUCGAGCGUCAUCUAAACCUUCAAGCCCUGCUUGGUGUUGGGUGCCUGUCCCGCCUCCGCGCGCGGACUCACCUCAAAUCCAUUGGCGGCCCCCGCGUCGGCCACGAGCGCAGCAGAAACGCGAACUCGUGAGCCCGUCCGGGCGGCUCCCAGAAGCUACACCCACCCAGUUUGACCUCGGAUCAGGUAGGGACACCCGCUGAACUUGAGC
rnacentral:misc_RNA from 1 species